rnacentral:rRNA from 1 species
CCGCGUGAGGGGAUGAAGGCUUUCGGGGUUGUAAACCUCUUUCAGCAGGGAAGAAGCGAAAGUGACGGUACCUGCAGAAGAAGCGCCGGCUAACUACGUGCCAGCAGCCGCGGUAAUACGUAGGGCGCAAGCGUUGUCCGGAAUUAUUGGGCGUAAAGAGCUCGUAGGCGGUUUGUCGCGUCUGCUGUGAAAACUCGAGGCUCAACCUCGGGCUUGCAGUGGGUACGGGCAGACUAGAGUGCGGUAGGGGUGACUGGAAUUCCUGGUGUAGCGGUGGAAUGCGCAGAUAUCAGGAGGAACACCGAUGGCGAAGGCAGGUCACUGGGCCGCAACUGACGCUGAGGAGCGAAAGCAUGGGGAGCGAACAGGAUUAGAUACCCUGGUAGUCCAUGCCGUAAACGUUGGGCACUAGGUGUGGGGCUCAUUCCACGAGUUCCGUGCCGCAGCAAACGCAUUAAGUGCCCCGCCUGGGGAGUACGGCCGCAAGGCUAAAACUCAAAGAAAUUGACGGGGGCCCGCACAAGCGGCGGAGCAUGCGGAUUAAUUCGAUGCAACGCGAAGAACCUUACCAAGGCUUGACAUACACCGGAAACUUCCAGAGAUGGUUGCCCCGCAAGGUCGKUGUACUAGGUGGUGCAUGGUGUCGUCAGCUCGUGUC